CAGUCCAGUAAUCCUCCGCCGCCGCCAUUCGCCACCACCAUCAUCUUCCACUACAGUGGUCGACCGAAGCUCCGGGGAGAAUGGAAGAGCCAAGGGAUGCUCGGCUACGACGGAAGCAGAGAUUUCCACCGGCGAUGAUUGCUCGAUUUGGGAGCGGUGCAGGAAAAUGUAGGUAGUUUGUGUGAUUGAUUAGAGAUUGACACAUGGACAUGGCUUGCUUCGGUUGGGCCUAGCGCAAGCUCUCCGACACACCCACACAAACACCAUUCAUUAAACAAGUUCAAUACACGACAUGGCUGUGUGCGAAAACCACACCCCAGGAAAAGUAAUGCUACUUGGGAUAACCAGCAAUCAAUCAACAACUGAAAGAAGAAACAAUUGAUUUCUUCGGCUUGAGGGGUUAACCAGAAGCAAGGCAGAUAGGAGUCCAAGGCGCUACCUCUGGAAGGAGGAAGUUGGCAGCACAGCUUGGCUGCUGCAAACUGCUUCAGCAUUUGGCAUCAAGUUUCAGCACCAUCUGCCGGGUAGAGGCCGGCCAAGUUGUAAGGAUCAAGCUGCCUGGUUCGGUAGAGAAGUUGACCCCGACUCUACAAAGUCUUUGGACUAAAAUCGCCAGACCUAAAUACAACCGAAGUACAAGAUCAAAGCAAGAAAAGGAAAGGUGUUUGUUUUAAGGAGGCGAGUUACCCGAUAGGAGGAUGUAAAUAGUGUAUUGGUUUGUGCAUCUGUCAAGGUGUGCCCGGACAGUCUCCUCCGGAAGGGAGCCAAAAAGGAUGGCGUAGAUAUCCUUGAUAAUGCUCAGGGCAAUUUUUUUAACAACAAAGGGCUCAUUCUCAAACACUAAUCUAUUUCUAGCUGACCACAAAUGAUAGGUGGUAGAAGCUAAGAUGGGUGUUAAUGCUUUCCGGUAAAUUGUCGAGCCCUUCCCCUUUUCAUACAAAUGCUUAACUGCACUAAGUAGAGUGGUCACUGAAUGGCUGAUUUUUUGCCCAUUCUCUAAUGUACAGCCAAACUUUGGCAGUUCCUGCACAAGAAAAAAAGAGGUGGGAGUUAGAUUCCAUUUCUUUAUUACAAAUACAGCAGACUUUAGAUAUAGGUUUAUAGUUAAUUCGGUCAGCUGUCAGUUAGUGAUCAUUUUCAUCUGCUUGAUGUUGGCAACCAGAAUAUUUAAGCAAUUUCUCCUUCAUCUCAUUCCCUGUGUGGAUCAUGCUGCACAUUGAAAUGUUAAUGGUUUCAUAUCUCUUCUUGGCCUCUUAGGGCAGUGUAUGUGGAACGACGAUCCAAUUUUACAGUAUCUGUUCUCUUUUAUCUUUUUGUCGCUUCAACGGCUCGUUGUGGUUUGAAUUUAUGUAGGGCAAAGAAGCAGAGCAGGAUAGCUUUGUAGAGGCUGUCCGGGUCAUGAAGCCACAUGGUGCUUAACUUAAACGUUUGAGCUUCUUUAUUUCGAGCUCUUAGUGUUUCACCUUCCUUAGAUACCAUGGCUUUUGUCAACGCAUUUGCAAUGCCAUUUCUAGUAAAGGAUCCAUCUUCACCUCUUUCAACCUCUACCGCUAAUCCCUUCUCAACCAGAAGCCUCGAAUCCAACGGCUGCGCGAUAAUGAAGGGCAACAGCACUAGGCGGUGGCCAUGAACCAUAGCUUCCACAAC